rnacentral:rRNA from 1 species
GUAGGUGGCAAGCGUUGUCCGGAAUUAUUGGGCGUAAAGCGCGCGCAGGUGGGUCUUUAAGUCUGAUGUGAAAGCCCCCGGGCUCAACCGGGGAGGGUCAUUGGAAACUGGGGAACUUGAGUGCAGGAGAGGAAAGUGGAAUUCCACGUGUAGCGGUGAAAUGCGUAGAUAUGUGGAGGAACACCAGUGGCGAAGGCGACUUUCUGGCCUGUAACUGACACUGAGGCGCGAAAGCGUGGGGAGCAAACAGGAUUAGAUACCCUGGUAGUCCACGCCGUAAACGAUGAGUGCUAAGUGUUGGGGGGUUUCCGCCCCUCAGUGCUGCAGCUAACGCAUUAAGCACUCCGCCUGGGGAGUACGGUCGCAAGACUG